rnacentral:rRNA from 1 species
AGCGGAGUAGCAAUACCUAGCGGCGAACGGGUGAGUAACACGUGGGUAAUCUUCCUCCGAGUCUGGGAUAACUUUCCGAAAGGAAAGCUAAUACCGGAUAGUCCUACUGGAUCACAGGAUCUGAUAGGUAAAGAUUUAUUGCUUGGAGAUGAGCCCGCGGCCGAUUAGCUAGUUGGUGAGGUAAUGGCUCACCAAGGCGACGAUCGGUAGCCGGCCUGAGAGGGUGUCCGGCCACAAUGGAACUGAGACACGGUCCAUACUCCUACGGGAGG